UACAGAGGGUGCGAGCGUUGUCCGGAAUCACUGGGCGUAAAGGGCGCGUAGGUGGUGGCUUAAGCGUGCGGUGAAAGCUCGGGGCUCAACCCCGAGUCGGCCGUGCGAACUGGGCUCACUGGAGCAUAGUAGAGGCAGGUGGAAUUCCGGGUGUAGCGGUGGAAUGCGUAGAGAUCCGGAAGAACACCGGUGGCGAAGGCGGCCUGCUGGGCUAUGGGCGUGACACGUG
rnacentral:rRNA from 1 species